CCUACGUGAGGCAGCAGUGGGGGAUAUUGCACAAUGGGGGCAACCCUGAUGCAGCGACGCCGCGUGAGCGAUGGAGUACUUCGGUAUGUAAAGCUCUGUCAGCAGGGAAGAGAAUGACGGUACUUGACCAAGAAGCCCCGGCUAAAUACGUGCCAGCAGCCGCGGUAAUACGUAUGGGGCAAGCGUUAUCCGGAUUUACUGGGUGUAAAGGGAGCGUAGGCGGCAGGGCAAGCCUGAUGUGAAAGCCCGGGGCUCCACCCCGGGACUGCAUUGGGAACUGCCACGCUCGAGUGCCGGAGGGGCAGGCGGAAUUCCUAGGGUAGCGGUGGAAUGCGUAGAUAUUAGGAGGAACACCAGUGGCGAAGGCGGCCUGCUGGACGGUGUACUGACGCUGAGGCUCGAAAGCGUGGGGAGCAAACAGGAUUAGAUACCCGUGUAGUC
rnacentral:rRNA from 1 species